UACGUAGGUGGCAAGCGUUGUCCGGAUUUACUGGGUGUAAAGGGCGCGUAGGCGGGACUGCAAGUCAGAUGUGAAAUCUGGGGGCUUAACCCUCAAACUGCAUUUGAAACUGUAGUUCUUGAGUAUCGGAGAGGCAGGCGGAAUUCCAAGUGUAGCGGUGAAAUGCGUAGAUAUUUGGAGGAACACCAGUGGCGAAGGCGGCCUGCUGGACGACAACUGACGCUGAGGCGCGAAAGCGUGGGGAGCAAACAGG
rnacentral:rRNA from 2 species